AGUGAACGCUGGCGGUAGGCCUAACACAUGCAAGUCGAACGGCAGCACAGUAAGAGCUUGCUCUUACGGGUGGCGAGUGGCGGACGGGUGAGGAAUACAUCGGAAUCUACUUUUUCGUGGGGGAUAACGUAGGGAAACUUACGCUAAUACCGCAUACGACCUACGGGUGAAAGCAGGGGAUCUUCGGACCUUGCGCGAUUGAAUGAGCCGAUGUCGGAUUAGCUAGUUGGCGGGGUAAAGGCCCACCAAGGCGACGAUCCGUAGCUGGUCUGAGAGGAUGAUCAGCCACACUGGAACUGAGACACGGUCCAGACUCCUACGGGAGGCAGCAGUGGGGAAUAUUGGACAAUGGACGCAAGCCUGAUCCAGCCAUACCGCGUGGGUGAAGAAGGCCUUCGGGUUGUAAAGCCCUUUUGUUGGGAAAGAAAAGCAGCAGGUUAAUACCCCGCUGUUCUGACGGUACCCAAAGAAUAAGCACCGGCUAACUCCGUG
rnacentral:rRNA from 1 species